GCUCUCAUGGCGUAGUGGUCACUGCGCUCGCCUUGCACGCGGGAGACCCGGGUUCGAUUCCCGGCGGGGUCA
rfam:Asian citrus Psyllid, Diaphorina citri - Florida Strain, whole genome shotgun sequence.